rnacentral:rRNA from 1 species
GACAGAGGUGCCAAGCGUUAGGCGGAAUCACUGGGCUUAAAGCGUGUGUAGGCGGAAUUGUAAGUACCUUGUGAAAUCUCCGGGCUUAACCCGGAGCGGCCAAGUGAUACUGUCGUGCUAGAGUGCGGAAGGGGCUACUGGAAUUCUCGGUGUAGCGGUGAAAUGCGUAGAUAUCGAGAGGAACACCUGCGGCGAAGGCGGGUAGCUGGGCCGACACUGACGCUGAGGCGCGAAAGCCAGGGGAGCGAACGGG